GACGAACGCUGGCGGCGUGCUUAACACAUGCAAGUCGAACGGUAAGGCCCUUCGGGGUACACGAGUGGCGAACGGGUGAGUAACACGUGGGUGAUCUACCCUGCACUUCGGGAUAAGCCUGGGAAACUGGGUCUAAUACCGGAUAGGACCACUGCCUGCAUGGGGGGUGGUGGAAAGCUUUUGCGGUGUGGGAUGGGCCCGCGGCCUAUCAGCUUGUUGGUGGGGUGAUGGCCUACCAAGGCGACGACGGGUAGCCGGCCUGAGAGGGUGACCGGCCACACUGGGACUGGGAUACGGCCCAGACUCCUACGGGAGGCAGCAGUGGGGAAUAUUGCACAAUGGGCGCAAGCCUGAUGCAGCGACGCCGCGUGAGGGAUGACGGCCUUCGGGUUGUAAACCUCUUUCAGCACCGACGAAGCGCAAGUGACGGUAGGUGCAGAAGAAGGACCGGCCAACUACGUGCCAGCAGCCGCCGUAA
rnacentral:rRNA from 1 species